GACGAACGCUGGCGGCGUGCUUAACACAUGCAAGUCGAACGGAAAGGCCCUGCUUUUGUGGGGUGCUCGAGUGGCGAACGGGUGAGUAACACGUGAGUAACCUGCCCUUGACUUUGGGAUAACUUCAGGAAACUGGGGCUAAUACCGGAUAGGAGCUCCUGCUGCAUGGUGGGGGUUGGAAAGUUUCGGCGGUUGGGGAUGGACUCGCGGCUUAUCAGCUUGUUGGUGGGGUAGUGGCUUACCAAGGCUUUGACGGGUAGCCGGCCUGAGAGGGUGACCGGCCACAUUGGGACUGAGAUCCGGCCCAGACUCCUACGGGAGGCAGCAGUGGGGAAUAUUGCACAAUGGGCGGAAGCCUGAUGCAGCAACGCCGCGUGCGGGAUGACGGCCUUCGGGUUGUAAACCGCUUUCGCCUGUGACGAAGCGUGAGUGACGGUAAUGGGUAAAGAAGCACCGGCUAACUACG
rnacentral:rRNA from 1 species